rnacentral:miRNA from 1 species
UAGCACUGGACGAUCUAA